AGAGGGUAAUGCGUGAGGCUGGCUUCACAGAGCAGCGAUUACCUCU
rnacentral:SRP_RNA from 1 species